rnacentral:rRNA from 1 species
AACGAACGCUGGCGGCAGGCCUAAUACAUGCAAGUCGAACGCUCGUAGCAAUACGAGAGUGGCAGACGGGUGAGUAACACGUGGGAACCUUCCCUAUGGUUCGGAAUAGCUCAGGGAAACUUGAGGUAAUACCGGAUAAGCCCUUACGGGGAAAGAUUUAUCGCCAUUGGGUGGGCCCGCGUCGGAUUAGCUAGUUGGUGGGGUAACGGCCUACCAAGGCGACGACGGGUAGCCGGCCUGAGAGGGCGACCGGCCACACUGGGACUGAGACACGGCCCAGACUCCUACGGAGGCAGCAGUGGGAAUCUUGCGCAAUGGGCGAAAGCCUGACGCAGCGACGCCGCGUGA